rnacentral:lncRNA from 1 species
UUUUCCGUCACUCGGGCCGCAAGGGCCUGGUCAACGUUCGGGAUGUGCUCGUGGAGGAGUGCCACGCUCAGCUGGCAGAGGAGUCAUACAAGUCACAGCAAAGCCAUGAUUUGCUCAAGGAGUCGUUUUUGAACAAAGCAAAGGAAGAAGAGAAAAUGCCUGUAUCUGCAAGACAGGAAGAAAAGCAACUCAUUGAAAGAUUGUUGAACUGUUUCUCUGAAGAGAAAUCUGAUGCACCAACCCAUAAGGUAACAGCUGUUGGUCCGUUUACUCCUUACCAGCUGAAAUGCUACAGUCUGACCAAAAUAUCCCAAUUCAGGUACGAGAAGACUUUUAUUGUGAGGUAUAGUCAUAUUCUUACCUGUUAGUUUCAAUAA